CAAUAGUUCCUACAUGAAACUGCUCACAACAAGGUCGGUGGAUUAUCUUGAGUAACCGGGUCAUGAUUUCUGUAAAGAGACAGUGCUGUUGAGUUUCUCACAUGUAUUUUUUUAGCGCUUUGAGCACCACAAGCCGAGUUCCAUCCAGUUCCAUUAUAUUAGAGAGAAGGCAGACAUCUCUACGGCUGAUAUCUCCAACACUCUGCAACUCACACCAACAAUCUAGACCGAUAAAAUCUACUACAGUAGAGGUUCUUCUGUAGCCAACCAGCAGAGGUCCCCUCUCACCUGAUUUAAAACUCCGCCAGUAACAUCCUGAGCCUCGGUCUGGGCAGAGAUCCUCCAGUAUGAGUUUCACAGUAACACCUCUCUGAUCAAAACAACCUGAUCUAUUGAUCCACUCUGCACUCAGGAGCUGGGACCCCACACAGGAGCAUAGAAACAGUCUGGGAAGUUCAUAUCUUCAUCACCAUCACGUGUUUUACAGGGUUGAAUGUGGAGUACAGUUUUUUUGUUUGUUUGAAUAGUUCAUAUGUAAUAAAGUGUACAUUUGCUUUCUUGUGAUGUAUAUUAAUAAUAAAACAAUCAGUAUCAUGAUAUUAAUUUGAGCUGUGUUGCCCUGUCCUUUGAGGCCCUCGGCAUGUCUGUAACAUAUUAAAUGUACUAACUGUCUGUCUCCCACUGAUGUAAUUUAUGGGGUCUCACCUCAGGGGUCCUAAAGCUGGAUUCAGUAGACGGAAAGAAAACAACCUGCCUGCUGACUCACUUGUUAGGAGUAUUACCGCACUUUGUUAGAUAUGACUGUGACCUCCUGCCGAAAGCUUUGCCUGUGCAUUUAUUGUCUCGAUCAGCCGCCUGUUCACACUGUUAAGCAUUUUUAUUUAAAUUGGAUACUUCAUAAGAGUAAAAGCACAAAUUGAUUGAGAGGAUUCACACACACAGUGCACACGGGGACACAGAUAUAUGCACCCUGCCCAGAUGAUCCUUGAAGCUUAACUAAUGAGAUCAGCUUGACUUAGAGAUUUUUCAUUCAACAUGGCAGGAAGCCUAAAUCUUUCAAGUGUGUGUCUGUGUGUAGCUGUGUGUGUGCGUGUGUGUGUGAAGUGAUUAAUAUGCAUGCGUGUGUGUCACAUCGACUUAAUCAACUCUCAUUGCAACUCAUAGCAGUGCGACUUGCAGUUCAUUAACACUUAUUCAGACUCCGCUGACCUCCUCCAACACCUGGAUCACUUUCUGUACAAAACAGAUGAGCGUCUCCAUGGGAACCAGGGCCUCCUCCUCCAUAUUUGUCAGGAGUAAACACGAGCAGUGCUUUUAACGUCACCGCAUGGAGAAGAGGGACACGGAUAUGUAUGUGAUACAUUCUUGUGAUGCACAUGUCAUUAAAAUUCAGCUUUUUGAAGUGAGGUUAUUUUAGACCACAGUUUUAAUCCUGUGUUUUGCUGAGCAUGAUAAAGUGUGAUGAUACUAUACAAUGACAGUUAUCAGGUUGUUAAAGGGAUAGUUCAGAUCUUCUGAAGUGGGCUUGUAUGGGGUACUUAUCCAUAAUGAGUGAAUUACAUACAAUAGAUGGCGGUCGGCACUGCCCCAGUUUGGAGAAGCAGGCUGGAGUACUGCUGUGGAGGGGUCAGCAACGAAACAUUUUUUAGCCAUCUGAAAAAUAGUCCCACUUAAAAUAAUCAAUGUCAGUUUAAGUGUAUGCUACAUUUCCAAUAUUUUCACUGCUUUACCGAGCUGUCAGACAGCAGUCUCUGGUGAAACAAUGCUGUUAUACCACUCUCCUCAAAGCCAGACUCCAUUGAGAAAAACAAUCAUUUAACAUAGCUGAAAACAGGAGCUGCUGGUCUACAACUGCCUCAGUCAGCUUUUGUUUGUUUUGUUGUGUGGCUGCGGCAAACAAACUACCUGAGUGAAGCAGCAGCUCCCGUGUUCAGCUAGCAGAAGUUACUGUUUUUGUCAGUGGAGUCUGGUGGCUUUGACAAGUGCACAGAUGGAGAGCUGAAGCUGUUAGCGGCUUCCGAGUCAGGACAGGUUGUAAGAAUAAAGAUUGAUGAGAAAGAGAGAAAUGAGGUGAGUUACAUUUUGAGUUUGAAAUUACAUGUUUAGGCGUAAUUUUAGAUUGUCAGCUUAAGUUAGACAUGCAAAAUCUAAAUAAACAGGCACUGAAAGUGAUGGAUUGGAAACCUGCUGGAUAUCUCCAUUGCCUAAUUCUACAGAAAUACAAUAUAAUAAGUUUUGACAUUCAUUUUUUGUGACUCUUUAUCCUGUUGGGGGUCAUGGAGGGAUGGAGCCUAUCCCAGCUGACAUUGGGUGAGGGGCGGGUACACCCUGGACAGGUCACCAGACUAUCACAGGGCUGACACAUGUGGGAGGAAGCUGGAGUACUCGGAGAAAACCCACGCUGACACAGCGAGGACGUGCAAACUCCACACAGAAGGACUCCACCACCCUGGGUUCGAAUCAGGAACCCUCUUGCUGUGAGAUGCAGGUUUUGGAUUCCUGGCGGGAGUCCAGCACAGCACGGCCAAGACGUGGACAUAAGUGAUUUAAACACAGAGACACUGCCAGGCAUCACUGCUCCUCUGGCUCCCAGCCUCCUCCUCCCCUCUGAAGGGAAGAGGAAGCCAAUUGAAUUUGGGACCCUUCACCUCUGCUUUUCUGAGUAUCGCCACACCCUACCUCAAGAAACAUGUUCAAGGUAGGCCAAUGAGGAUCUCUGGAGUCACAUGCUGUCAAGAUAUACAGGAAAUGAUGUCCUUAAAGUUUCAAAAACACAUCAGUAUGAGUUCCCUUCGGAGCCACAGAGGUAUCUGUAUGUGUUUAAAUGUUCACUGCUUUGGUUUUGAAACAAAGUUUGAUUCAAAUCUUACACAAUCCAAACAAAACAUUCUCAAAAACACGAUAAAAGUAGAAAUGAAAUAUGCCAAAAUCUAAUGUUCCCCUGGAAAGAUUUAGAGGAUCAUAAAAGCAUGGUUUAAAUGUUCGUGCUCUAUUGGAAGUUUGGAUUUUGUUUUAUAGGGAUUUUCUUUGACCUGUGUUUGAUAUCGUUGCUAUUAAUUCUUGUGUGUCUUUCAAAUACUUUUGUCAUAAUUGUAUUGUUAUACUGAUUUUUUAAGUGAGUAAAUAAAUUGUCUAUGUGUUUUCAUGCUCUAUUGUCUUGAAUUGAGGGAUGAAUAAAGUGUUUUGAAUUGAAGUGAACUGAAUGAAGUUUUCUAUACAUGAUCUAUGUUAAAUUAAAAAUCCCUGCCA